rnacentral:lncRNA from 7 species
GAUCUCGAGUACGCAUUAGCCCUGCUGCCUGCACCUGGCUAGCUUGAUUUGCUAGCUAGGGCCGGAUCAGGCCCUAUACGACUAUGGUCUCCAAUUGGUUUGUGUUUGAUCGUCGAUCAAGAUGGUCUGAUGGUGCAAAGCUCAUCUUGUUUUGACUCUGCAUUAUUCUCCCAUGGUGCAAAGCUCGGUCAGAUUAGCCUUUUCCAAGAGAGUCAGGAGGCCGGUUAUAUAUUAGGCCUAGCAGGCACCUGUCUUCUUUAGCUUGGUUCUGUACUUUCAAAGGCAGCCAGAGUGCAGUUAGACAAGGACCAGUCCUACUAAUCACUCGUGGUUCUUUCUCUGACAAACUGUGUUUCAGCAGCCUUCCAAAACUGUGUCAACUCACUUGUGGUUCUUUAUCUGAAUGCGUGUAGGACAGAUGACAUUCUACUGGGGAACAUGUGGAAGGAUCCCCUUUGGAAGCUCGGGUUAAGUCAAUCUAUUAUUUCAGAGCCUGCAAUGGAAGCAUGCAUCCUCCUAUGGCAGAGGAUUAGCGAUGUGAAAUUACUGUAGCUCUUAUUGUCCUAAUAGAGUAGGAGGAGCUAUAGCUCCAAGCAUGGUGGUACUGGUACUAGUAGUCAGCAUCAGUUGAAAUCUUAAGCUUUCAUCUGCACAAAAUGCAGGAGUGGAUCUGUUUCAGAACUUGGUAGCAGGAAAAAGAAGCUUCCAAAGAAGGCCGUACAAACACCACUCCUAGUUUACAGCAUCUUGGUCUCUGGCUAGUACUGAUCCUACUAGUUAUUAGUAAUCUAUCAGGUCCAGAAAGCUAGAGCAGAGGUAAUCUUCUACUGUCUGCAGUGACAGGGGGAAUGUAAACUGAAGAUGCAACGCGAUUAAAUUUACUCUGAUCUCUGACAAAGUAGAAAGAUU